UACGAGGGGGGCAAGCGUUGUUCGGAAUUAUUGGGCGUAAAGGGCGCGCAGGCGGCUCAGACAGUCAGAUGUGAAAGCCCCGGGCUUAACCUGGGAACUGCAUUUGAUACUACUGAGCUUGAGUACGGGAGAGGAUAGUGGAAUUCCCAGUGUAGAGGUGAAAUUCGGUAGAUAUUGGGAAGAACACCGGUGGCGAAGGCGGCUAUCUGGGACCGUAACUGACGCUGAGGCGCGAAAGCGUGGGGAGCAAACAGG
rnacentral:rRNA from 1 species